UUUCUGACCGUGAGUUACAGUUGUGUUCUGUGAAAAUUAAAUAACAUUUGGAUGUAAAUGAUCGGCAUAAAAGUAGUGUGCAGCU